CACACUGGGACUGAGACACGGCCCAGACUCCUACGGGAGGCAGCAGUGGGGAAUAUUGCGCAAUGGGCGAAAGCCUGACGCAGCAACGCCGCGUGAGGGAUGAAUGCCUUCGGGUUGUAAACCUCUUUCAAGCAGGGACGAUAAUGACGGUACCUGCAGAAGAAGCUCCGGCCAACUACGUGCCAGCCGCCGCCGUAAAAC
rnacentral:rRNA from 1 species